GACGAAGGAUGCAAGCGUUAUCCGGAUUCAUUGGGUUUAAAGGGUGCGUAGGCGGACCUGUAAGUCAGUGGUGAAAUCUCUUUGCUUAACAAAGAAACUGCCAUUGAUACUGCAAGUCUAGAGUAUAGAUGACGUUGGCGGAAUAUGACAUGUAGUGGUGAAAUACUUAGAUAUGUCAUAGAACACCGAUUGCGAAGGCAGCUAACGAAACUAUAACUGACGCUGAGGCACGAAAGUGCGGGGAUCAAACAGG
rnacentral:rRNA from 2 species